rnacentral:lncRNA from 1 species
CUAAAGUAGACUGGAGUGGAGCCUGAACUCACCAGUAGAGUUUUUCUAAUGGCAAAGCCUGUGCUUUCUGUGACUACGAUACAGAGGCCUGUUGAUGAAGGCCUCUCCUCAUGGUCAUUGCUACAGGAAGGGAUGGUCUUGGGGCUGUUCCCUCCCAUCCUUGUCCAAGCAUAGCUUUUUCUACUCCUGAGAGUCCUCAGACUGGCCUGACCUAUAGUUAGAUGGCAGGACCUCUGAGGCAACUAUUCCUGUACCCUCAGACAUCAGGCUCCAAAGUCUUUCAUAAAAGCAGCUCUUAGUCUUCCUCUAAUUCUUUCCUGUCUCCUUCCUAUAAGCCCCAGGACUUAAAAAGAAACAAACAACCUGGCAAAAAAAAAAAGCUUUCCCUUUGCUGCCUCAGUCUAAAAUUAAUUCUGUAGUGAAAAUAGACAUCUAGCUCAUAAGAUCAGAAAACAGCAAGACCCUGAAAUUCCAUUUCGGACCCAGCUGGGGCGUUUUUCUCUUACAAGUGAAACUCUCUCCACGUGUGUCUUCCACACAGCGAAGUAAUGGCAAACCCAGGGCAACAACCUGAACAUUUAGAUCCCAUGGGACAAGUAAAACCACCAGGAGAAGGGGAAUGAACUCCAAGAAACUAAAUGUCCGUCAGAUGUCAUGUUGACUCGCUCUGCUUUCACCUGUGAAGAUGCUGAUAUUAUACAAGUAUGUAUCUGUCACUGGUUGGCUCUUACCUACUCAUAUUUUGGGGUUCAUGAGCAUAUUUUGUUACCUAGAUUUUUGUAAGUGUUUGACAUGGAUUUGCG